rnacentral:piRNA from 1 species
AAGGACUGAAGGAUCUGUAAGGGUUUGCA